rnacentral:lncRNA from 1 species
GGGGGGGGAUAAGGGUUUAAGGGCCCCCAGAGGUGGGGGAGCCAACUCAACUUAAGUUACCUUAUUCAAUAGAUUGCUCUCAUGGAACUACCAGGCACCUGGUGGGAAUUGAAGUAUUGGGUAAAACUGAUGAGUGUAGGUGGAGACACUAAAGGGAAGGGGUUGGAUAUCUACUACUUUCUCUUUCAAUCUGUCUACAUUUAUAAUUGUAAUUGUGUUGUACUGUAUGAGAGAGAGAGAGAGAGGGAAUGGGAUGCAAGCAUGCACUCACACUGCCUCUUUUCUCUUGUUGAGGGAGGUUGUUGUUGUUGUUGUUGUUGCUGGUUGUAAUUUUCAUUUACUGUUGGUGGGGUGGAGUAGCCUUACAAGUGGGCUCAUGAUGGGCUCAUCAUUCAUCCAUCA